UUUUAUGCGAUGGGUGCGUUAACGAUGGAAGCGGCAUCCUUUUUGGCUUUUUCUGCCAAAAAGAUAAAGCGGACAGCGUGUUGAAAC
rnacentral:sRNA from 1 species